rnacentral:rRNA from 1 species
UAUUGGCCUCACACAGGGGCUACGACCGGUAGGGGUUCCGAGAGAGACUGAGUCCCGAAUGGGACUGAGACACGCCAACCACCUACGGUGGCAGCAGUUGAUCUGGCCAUUGGGGGAAACCUGAGCAGCGACGCGCGUGGAGGAUGAAGAUUAGUCUGUAAACUCUUGCAGGAAAGACUAGACGUACCUGCGAUAGCUCGCUAACUACGUGCCAGCAGCCGCGGUAAUACGUAGGGAGCAGCGUGUCCGGAUUUACUGGGCGUAAAGGGCGCGUAGGCGGCCUGUUAAGUGUGAAGUGAAAUCUCCAGAGCUCAACUCGGAAACUGCUUCGCAUACUGGCAGGCUGGAGGAAGGUAGAGGUAAGUAGAAUUCCCGGUGUAACGGUGACAUGUAAAAAUAUCGGGAGGAAUACCAAUGGCGAAGGCAGCUUACUGGACCUUUCCUGACGCUGAGGCGCGAAAGCGUGGGUAGCAAACAGGAUUAGAUACCCUGGUAGUCCACGCCCUAAACGAUGGAUACUAGGCGUUAGGGGUAUCGACCCCCCUAGUGCCGCAGCUAACGCAUUAAGUAUCCCGCCUGGGAAGUACGGCCGCAAGGUUGAAACUCAAAGGAAUUGACGGGGGCCCGCACAAGCGGUGGAGCAUGUGGUUUAAUUCGACGCAACGCGAAGAACCUUACCCAGGU